CCGACUUACGUUGAAAAGUGAGCGGAUGAACUGAGGGUAGCGGAGAAAUUCCAAUCGAACCUGGAGAUAGCUGGUUCUCUCCAAAAUAGCUUUAGGGCUAGCCUCAAGUGAUGAUUAUUGGAGGUAGAGCACUGUUUGGACGAGGGGCCCCUCUCGGGUUACCGAAUUCAGACAAACUCCGAAUGCCAAUUAAUUUAACUUGGGAGUCAGAACAUGGGUGAUAAGGUCCGUGUUCGAAAGGGAAACAGCCCAGACCACCAGCUAAGGUCCCAAAAUAUAUGUUAAGUGGAAAAGGAUGUGGCGUUGCCCAGACAACUAGGAUGUUGGCUUAGAAGCAGCCAUCAUUUAAAGAGUGCGUAAUAGCUCACUAGUCGAGUGACACUGCGCCGAAAAUGUACCGGGGCUAAACAUAUUACCGAAGCUGUGGAUUGUCCUUUGGACAAUGGUAGGAGAGCGUUCUAAGGGCGUUGAAGCAUGAUCGUAAGGACAUGUGGAGCGCUUAGAAGUGAGAAUGCCGGUGUGAGUAGCGAAAGACGGGUGAGAAUCCCGUCCACCGAUUGACUAAGGUUUCCAGAGGAAGGCUCGUCCGCUCUGGGUUAGUCGGGUCCUAAGCUGAGG
rnacentral:rRNA from 1 species